UAAUAACUAUUAAGUUGGUGCAAACAUAAUUGUGGUUGUUGUCAUUACUUUUAAUGGCAAAAACUGUAAUUACUUUUCCACUAAUCUAAUAUUUUAAU
ensembl:miRNA